rnacentral:rRNA from 1 species
AACGAACGCUGGCGGCGUGCCUAAUACAUGCAAGUCGAGCGAACCACUUCGGUGGUGAGCGGCGAACGGGUGAGUAACACGUAGGUGAUCUGCCCAUCAGACGGGGACAACGAUUGGAAACGAUCGCUAAUACCGGAUAGGACGAAAGUUUAAAGGUGCUUCUGGCACCGCUGAUGGAUGAGCCUGCGGCGCAUUAGCUAGUUGGUAGGGUAAAGGCCUACCAAGGCGACGAUGCGUAGCCGACCUGAGAGGGUGAACGGCCACACUAGGACUGAGACACGGCCCAGACUCCUACGGGAGGCAGCAGUAGGGAAUCUUCGGCAAUGGGCGAAAGCCUGACCGAGCAACGCCGCGUGAAUGAUGAAGGCCUUCGGGUUGUAAAAUUCUGUUAUAAGGGAAGAACGACUUUAGUAGGAAAUGGCUAGAGUGUGACGGUACCUUAUGAGAAGGCCACGGCUAACUACGUGCCAGCAGCCGCCGCGG